GACUGAUGAGAGACUGUGACCAGUACAUCCAUCUUGUGUUCUCAAAGACUAGAGAGCUGAAACUGGAAAUCCAUAUGAGCAGGAAAAUCUUCUCCAGCCAGUGGAGGUGGCUGCUGAGAACAUUAGCAUGGAGUCUUGCCUGAAGAGGCUACUUUUGCUGUCUUGCCAGAUCUAUGUCACCUUGGUGUUGAUGGAAACUAAUGCUGACCUGAAGAAGUGAGAAACGAG
rnacentral:lncRNA from 1 species